rnacentral:rRNA from 1 species
GACGAACGCUGGCGGCGUGCUUAACACAUGCAAGUCGAACGGAAAGGCCCUGCUUUUGUGGGGUGCUCGAGUGGCGAACGGGUGAGUAACACGUGAGUAACCUGCCCUUGACUUUGGGAUAACUUCAGGAAACUGGGGCUAAUACCGGAUAGGAGCUCCUGCUGCAUGGUGGGGGUUGGAAAGUUUCGGCGGUUGGGGAUGGACUCGCGGCUUAUCAGCUUGUUGGUGGGGUAGUGGCUUACCAAGACUUUGACGGGUAGCCGGCCUGAGAGGGUGACCGGCCACAUUGGGACUGCGAGACGGCCCAGACUCCUACGGGAGGCAGCAGUGGGGAAUAUUGCACAAUGGGCGGAAGCCUGAUGCAGCAACGCCGCGUGCGGGAUGACGGCCUUCGGGUUGUAAACCGCUUUCGCCUGUGACGAAGCGUGAGUGACGGUAAUGGGUAAAGAAGCACCGGCUAACUACGUG